rnacentral:rRNA from 1 species
UACGGAGGAUGCAAGCGUUAUCCGGAAUGAUUGGGCGUAAAGCGUCCGCAGGUGGCUGUGUAAGUCUGCUGUCAAAGAGCAAAGCUCAACUUUGUAAAGGCAGUGGAAACUACACGGCUAGAGUGCGUUCGGGGCAGAGGGAAUUCCUGGUGUAGCGGUGAAAUGCGUAGAGAUCAGGGAGAACACCGGUGGCGAAAGCGCUCUGCUGGACCUUAACUGAUACUGAGGGACGAAAGCUAGGGGAGCGAAUGGG